CCUGCUCCUCAGCCACCCCACCAGCAAGAGGCUCCACGAGGAGCUGGGAGGGGACACAGCCAGCACAGAGACCCCAGCUGACCCAGGGGAUGUCCCAUAAUGUGGCACCAUGCCCAGCACAGAAAUCUGGGGAGCAGGAGGAAGGGGGGACCUUUGGAGUGCUGGUGUUUGCCUUCCCAAGUCACUGUCACAGGGGAUGGAGCCCUGCUGUCCUGGGCAUGGCUGAGCACCUGCCUGCCAUGGGAAGAGGCAAUGAGUCCCUUGGUUUGCCUCGCCUGUUAAACUGCCUUUAUCCAACCCACUCAGUUUUCUCACUUUUUUACCCUUCCAAUUCUUUCCCCCAUCCCGACGUGGGGGGAGCAAAUGGCUGUGUGGGGCUGAGCUGCCAGCUGGGAUUACACCACAACAGCUGCUUCCAUGUUUUCCUGCCUGCUGUCCACCCAUUCACAUUAGCCUUAUGAUUCCUACUUACACAUUAAGUAACAGCUAUGAAUUUGUCUAUUGCCAAAGAUGCCUGUUCAUCAACCAGACAACAAACUGUGGCACGAAAGCAUUUUGCUCAUAACUCAGUGCAGGAACAACUGACGACAAAGUCAGUGAUGCAGGAGCCCAAAGAAAACUGAAGCAGGAGAUUAAAUGCUUAUCACCUGAUUCCUGGUGGAAAAAGAUUGCUCUCAUCAGAUAAAGAUCAAGAGGAGGUGCUGUAGUUAAAAGCAGGUAAAUAGGGAAUUACACAGUAAAAAUGCUGGUUCAUCACUUGGGAUGUGAUGCUCCUGUCAUACUGUGCUAUUUAAAAUCAGAAGCAGAGCAGUGGUGGGAAGGAAGACUCGGGUAAUGCUGCCAGAUGGAGCAGGGCUCUGGGAGAGCACGGGGGGCUCAUUCUGCUCCUCUGGCUGAGAGCAUCUGUCUGCCCUGGCACCGCAGGGCUCCCGCCUGGCCACUGCAGCCCCUCCCGUGCAAACACGGCUCUGGGGGUCGGGUGGGGAGAGCUGAGCCCCCCGCCUGUGCUGCUCACUGUCUGCAGCCCUGGCCCACGCACACUCCUGGGUCCUGCGGCUCUGCUGCUCCGGGAGCACCCCCGCCCCAGGUGCUGCUGCCAUGGGGAGGAACCAGCGUGCAGAGAGGGUGGGGGGCUGCACCCUCCAAGCAGGAAGCAGCAACAGAGAUCCGCUGAGAUAAUUUUGAGCAGCUGGUGCAGGAACUGGUGGUGAUUUUUAACCACCCAGCCGGCAGCUGUGAGACCACCCCUCCUGGCUCGCCCACAGAAAGGGAAGCUGUGCUACAUCCCUCAGCCUUUUCCAGCAGCUUGUUUUCAAUAAGUGACCACUGCAAUUGCUGGUGGGUGCUGGAAGUCGCACUCGAGAGCAGAGGUGAUUUGUGAGAUGCUGCCAGUGAGGACACGGGUGACAACCCAGCUUGCGAGUGCUGAGAUGGCAACUUUGGAGCACACGCCCAGCUCUCUUACUGCCGCUUGCAGAGGGAAGGUUUUCUUCAACCCUUUCUUACAAAAGGUAAAGCACAAAAGCUGCACGUGCCCCUUCUGCCUGGCCUGCGAGAGGAAACCUUGUGCUCCCUCCAAAAAGCCCUCAGAUGUCAAAUUUGCCAGCUUUCAAAGAAAACACAUCAAUGCAUUUCUGUACUGGCUUAUGAGACUGAGGACAGGAGAAGGGAAAACAACAAAAAUGAUUUGAUGCACCGUCUCAGCUCAGCCUGUCAAACUGAUAUCCAUCAAUUAAAAAUGCAGCCGCUAACCUGGUCAGCAUAAGCAACUCUGUACCACGCUGUUACCAUUCCACGUGCACAAACAGCUGCUACUUAGCUGGGAACGAUUUCUGGGUUAGACUGUUCUGAUCUGCAGAAAUAACAGUGGGACCAAAAAAACCAGCGAGAAUACAACCAGCAGCCCGACAAAUUUGGGUCACACAGAGAAUCCGCUAAUCCAGCAGCUCAGCGAGCAGAGCCACAAACCCAAACUGAUUUCGCGGCUCCAUGGCUACCUGUGUUCGGGAUUAACCGAGCCCCAGGGCUUUACACCUGCAGCACCGCGCCUCUCAAGCACCGCUGGAACGCUGUCACCCGAAGGCAGCCCUGCGCUGCCAGACGCGUCUGUCACCAGCGCUGUCACCACCGCAGGCUCCAGCCGCGCUGCCCGGGGGUCCCGCGG